CAGCAGCCGCGGUAAAACGGAGGGGGCUAGCGUUGUUCGGAAUUACUGGGCGUAAAGCGCACGUAGGCGGCUUUGUAAGUUAGAGGUGAAAGCCCGGAGCUCAACUCCGGAAUUGCCUUUAAGACUGCAGAGCUAGCAGGUGAGAGAGGUGAGUGGAAUUCCGAGUGUAGAGGUGAAAUUCGUAGAUAUUCGGAAGAACACCAGUGGCGAAGGCGGCUCACUGGCUCAUACUGGACGCUGAGGUGCGAAAGCGUGGGGAGCAAACAGGAUUAGAUACCCCGGUAGUCCCUGUCUCUUAUAC
rnacentral:rRNA from 1 species